rnacentral:rRNA from 1 species
UACGGAGGGUGCAAGCGUUAUCCGGAUUUAUUGGGUUUAAAGGGUGCGUAGGCGGCUUUUUAAGUCAGCGGUGAAAUACUUCAGCUCAACUGGAGUCGUGCCGUUGAUACUGGGAAGCUUGAGUACUGAUGAAGUGGGCGGAAUUGAAGGUGUAGCGGUGAAAUGCAUAGAUAUCUUCAAGAACACCGAUUGCGAAGGCAGCUCACUAAGGAGUAACUGACGCUGAGGCACGAAAGCGUGGGUAGCAAACAGG